GACGAACGCUGGCGGCGUGCUUAGCACAUGCAAGUCGAACGGAAAGGCCCUGCUUUUGUGGGGUGCUCGAGUGGCGAACGGGUGAGUAACACGUGAGUAACCUGCCCUUGACUUUGGGAUAACUUCAGGAAACUGGGGCUAAUACCGGAUAGGAGCUCCUGCUGCAUGGUGGGGGUUGGAAAGUUUCGGCGGUUGGGGAUGGACUCGCGGCUUAUCAGCUUGUUGGUGGGGUAGUGGCUUACCAAGGCUUUGACGGGUAGCCGGCCUGAGAGGGUGACCGGCCACAUUGGGACUGAGAUACGGCCCAGACUCCUACGGGAGGCAGCAGUGGGGAGUAUUGCACAAUGGGCGGAAGCCUGAUGCGGAAACGCCGCGUGCGGAAUAACGGCCUUCGGGUUGUAAACCGCUUUCGCCUGUAACGAGGCGUGAGUGACGGUAAUGGGUAAAGAAGCACCGGCUAACUACGUG
rnacentral:rRNA from 1 species